rnacentral:tRNA from 2 species
GGUUCAAUGGCGUAGUUGGUUAUCGCAUCUGUCUUACAGUAUAGCACUGCCGCACAGAAGGUCCUCAGUUCGAGCCUGGGUUGAAUCA